GGGGGGGGGGCCUUAUCAUGCAGUCGAGCGAAUGGAUUAAGAGCUUGCUCUUAUGAAGUUAGCGGCGGACGGGUGAGUAACACGUGGGUAACCUGCCCAUAAGACUGGGAUAACUCCGGGAAACCGGGGCUAAUACCGGAUAAUUUUUUGAACCGCAUGGUUCGAAAUUGAAAGGGGGCUUCGGCUGUCACUUAUGGAUGGCCCCGCGUCGCAUUAGCUAGUUGGUGAGGUAACGGCUCCCCAAGGCAACGAUGCGUACCCGACCUGAGGGGGGGAUCGGCCACACGGGGACUGAGACACGGCCCACACUCCUACGGGGGGCAGCAGUGGGGAAUCUUCCGCAAUGGACAAAAGUCUGACGGAGCAACCCCGCGUGAGUGAUGAAGGUUUUCGGGUCGUAAAACUCUGUUGUUAGGGAAAAACAAGUGCUAGUUGAAUAAGCUGGCCCCUUGACGGUCCCUAACCAAAAAGCCACGGCUAACUACGUGCCAGCACCCGCGGUAAUACGUAGGUGGCAAGCGUUAUCCGGAAUUAUUGGGCGUAAAGCGCGCGCAGGGGGUUUCUUAAGUCUGAUGUGAAAGCCCACGGCUCACCCGUGGAGGGUCAUUGGAAACUGGGAGACUUGAGUGCAAAAAAGGAAAGUGAAUUUCCAUGUGUAGCGGUGAAAUGCGUAGAGAUAUGGAGGAACACCAGUGGCGAAGGCGAUUUUCUGUUCUGUAUCUGACACUGAGGCGCGAAAGCGUGGGGAGAAAACAGGAUUAGAUACUCUGGUAGCCCACGCCGUAAACGAUGAGUGCUAAGUGUUAGAGGGUUUCCCCCCUCUAGUGCUGAAGUUAACGCAUUAAGCACUCCGCCUGGGGAGUACGGCCGCAAGGCUGAAACUCAAAAGAUUUGACGGGGGCCCGCACCACGCGGUGGAGCAUGUGGUUAAUUUCGAAGCACCGCAAACAACUUUACCGUGCUUGUGAUAUCCUCUGACAACCCUAGAGAUAGGGCUUCCUCUUUCGGGAACAGAGUGCAGGGGUGGUGCAUGGGUUGUCUCCGUCUCCUCCUCGUGGAAGAUGUA
rnacentral:rRNA from 1 species